rnacentral:rRNA from 1 species
GAUGAACGCUGGCGGCGUGCCUAAUACAUGCAAGUCGAGCGAACAGAUAAGGAGCUUGCUCCUUUGACGUUAGCGGCGGACGGGUGAGUAACACGUGGGUAACCUACCUAUAAGACUGGAAUAACUCCGGGAAACCGGGGCUAAUGCCGGAUAACAUUUAGAACCGCAUGGUUCUAAAGUGAAAGAUGGUUUUACUAUCACUUAUAGAUGGACCCGCGCCGUAUUAGCUAGUUGGUAAGGUAACGGCUUACCAAGGCAACGAUACGUAGCCGACCUGAGAGGGUGAUCGGCCACACUGGAACUGAGACACGGUCCAGACUCCUACGGGAGGCGGCAGUAGGGAAUCUUCCGCAAUGGGCGAAAGCCUGACGGAGCAACGCCGCGUGAGUGAUGAAGGUCUUCGGAUCGUAAAACUCUGUUAUUAGGGAAGAACAAAUGUGUAAGUAACUGUGCACGUCUUGACGGUACCUAAUCAGAAAGCCACGGCUAACUACGUG